GAGGGGGAAGGGAUGGAAAUGCGAAACAGUGUGGCGAUGGACAACUCCUCAAUGGCGCAGCAGCAAACACCUGCAGCUUCAUUGAAGCAAGCCAAGGCUUCCACCAACUCUGUUGACACUAAUUCCGUCACCCAGAGGCUUCAGAAGGAAUUGAUGUCUCUCAUGAAGAAGGGGAGGACAUCUUGGAGAAU